CCCUUAGAUGUUCUGGGCUGCGCGCGCGCUACACUGAUGCGCUCAACGAGUUUUAACCUUGCCUGGAAAGGUUGGGUAAUCUUUUUAAAACGCAUCGUGAUGGGGAUAGAUUAUUGCAAUUAUUAAUCUUCAACGAGGAAUUCCUAGUAAGCGCGAGUCAUCAGCUCGUGCUGAUUACGUCCCUGCCCUUUGUACACACCGCCCGUCGCUCCUACCGAUUGAGUGUGUUGGUGAGGAGUUUGGAUUGGCCUCGGAAGGUGGUUCGCCACCGUCCGUAGCUGAGAAGUUCUCCAAACCGCCCCACUUAGAGGAAGGAGAAGUCGUAACA
rnacentral:rRNA from 1 species